GACGAACGCUGGCGGCGUGCUUAACACAUGCAAGUCGAACGGAAAGGCCCUGCUUUUGUGGGUUGCUCGAGUGGCGAACGGGUGAGUAACACGUGAGUAACCUCCCCUUGACUUUGGGAUAUCUUCAGGAAACUGGGGCUAAUACCGGAUAGGAGCUCUUGCUGCAUGGUGGGGGUUGGAAAGAUUCGGCGGUUGUGGAUGUACUCGCGGCUUAUCCGCUUCUUGGUGGGGUAGGGGCUUACCAAGGCUUUGACGGGUAGCCGGCCUGGGAGGGUGACCGGCCACAUUGGGACUGAGAUACGGCCCAGACUCCUACGGGAGGCAGCAGUGGGGAGUAUUGCAGAAUGGGCGGAAGCCUGAUGCAGCAACGCCGCGUGCGGGAUGACGGCCUUCGGGUUGUAAACCGCUUUCGCAUGUGACGAAGCGUGAGUGACGGUAAUGGGUAAAGAAGCACCGGCUAACUACGUG
rnacentral:rRNA from 1 species